UACGGAGGGUGCGAGCGUUGUCCGGAAUCACUGGGCGUAAAGGGCGCGUAGGCGGCGCGGGUAGUCAUCGGUGAAAGUUCAGGGCUCAACUCUGAAUCGGCCGGUGAUACUCCCGUGCUUGAGCACUGUAGAGGCAGGUGGAAUUCCGGGUGUAGCGGUGGAAUGCGUAGAGAUCCGGAAGAACACCGGUGGCGAAGGCGGCCUGCUGGGCAGUAGCUGACGCUGAUGCGCGACGAGCGUGGGGAGCAAACAGG
rnacentral:rRNA from 1 species